rfam:Schistosoma haematobium scaffold161_35, whole genome shotgun sequence.
ACCCAGCUGACGAGUCCCAAAUAUGGGGAAACGCGCGUCCAGGAU